UGCUAAAAGUAGUGAUUAUUUACAUGGAGUCUGGUGGGUCUAUCUCUGUAGGGAUCCAUCCCAUAAUGUUGUCACACACUUAGAAUAAUAAUCUGAUGUUGUCAACGGCAACAACAGAACUUUUAGCGGAUGGGAAAAUAGAGUCCAGGUU